rnacentral:misc_RNA from 1 species
GAAAUCUGAAUGGGAUUGAAAUCUUUUCAUUAUGAUAUCAUCAAAGGUGAAUUGUGGUUGUAGUAGUUCAUCAUUCGGGAUAGGUCGGUCAGGCUAGCAAUGGCAAAGAUAACUGUUCUUUUGAACUUAAUAGUGAUCCUUGCUUAAUCUACUAUAUUUCUGGUCUAUCAAGAGUUCUAAGACCUAUUAAACAUAUUGAAGUUAUGUUACUUGCCUUGAAAUCACAUUUUUGCUUCCACGUAUAGCAGUUGCAUUUUAUUUCAAAAAUCUUGAAUUUGAC